rnacentral:rRNA from 1 species
UACGUAGGGCGCAAGCGUUAUCCGGAAUUAUUGGGCGUAAAGAGCUCGUAGGCGGUUUGUCGCGUCUGCCGUGAAAGUCCGGGGCUCAACUCCGGAUCUGCGGUGGGUACGGGCAGACUAGAGUGAUGUAGGGGAGACUGGAAUUCCUGGUGUAGCGGUGAAAUGCGCAGAUAUCAGGAGGAACACCGGUGGCGAAGGCGGAUCUCUGGGCCACUACUGACGCUGAGAAGCGAAAGCGUGGGGAGCGAACAGG